GCCUCCAGCAUUUCAUUGAUUACACUUUAGGUUUUCCUACCCCAGCACUGCUUCCUACAGAGGCUCUGUCUCAGUUUUCCAGCUGGGACAUAGUUUUUCUUCUGUCUUUGCACAUGGAUUCCAACUAACACCAUCAGCUCGCCUGCUUCUCAGACCUUCAGACUCAGAUGGAACUACACUAUAGGUUCUCCUAGGUCUGGACUUCUCAGCCUCCAUAAUCAUACGGACUGUUGUGCAGACUCAGGCAGCUCACUCGGGGCUGGGCAGCAGACAGUGAUUAUCAUCACCCCCUGCUUUCAUCCAUUACGGCGGGUGUUAGCAGAUGUGGGAUUUGAGACCCAAAGAAGUGAAGUAACCUGCCCAAGUUUACACAGCUUGGAGUAGAACCCGAGUUUCUAUGGACUCCAGAGCUCAUGAGUUCACCACUUCAUUCUGUGCCUCCUAACUCUGUGCCGCUGAGGACUCAGAAGAAGCCAGUGCUAAUGCUUUCUCCAGUUUCUCUCCUCUUGUGUGAACUGUGUGAACUGCCACUUUAAGACUCUCUUGGAGAAUCAUAAUCCAAGUUGCGAAGUCCAACAAUUCCUCUGGAGAAAUGGUCCUCAACUGGGGGCAAAUUUGGGCCCCAGGAGACAUAUGGCAAUGUCUGACAAUGUUUUUUUGAUUGUUACAAACAGGUUGGGGAGAGAGUCCUGCUAGCAUCUAGUUGGUAGAGGCCAGAGAUAAUGCUGAACAGCCUGCAGGAUACCCCGAACCCCAUCAAAAGAUUCUCUGACCCAAAACGUCAAUGGUACUGAGGUUGAAAAACCCUGGUCUGGA
rnacentral:lncRNA from 1 species